GAUUUUACUGCUUGCUAGUUUACUUUGCUAGGUUCGUAUCUCUGGAUUGGCGAAUAAAACCAAAAACUUUAAUUUAAUUCAACAACUCUUUAUUUUACAACUUGUCUACACUAUAACAGUUUACUCUUAGCACUGAUUGAUUACGUUGGCGCUGCCACGGCUUAUACAGCCACGCACUUCUCGCUGAUGCCGACGGGUCCUUCUAGAAUAUUGCGUCUGGAAAUUACCAGAACAUAAUGCUAUACGGCGCCAGACGCAAGCAGACAGCCGCGGCGCCAGACUCAGCAAUUGUUUAAGUAGACAAGCAGACAGUGCGGCGCCAGAUGUCUACAACAAGACAAAUCCCUACAAGAAACUGCUGAUCGUUUCACUAAUACACGCACAUUUUUUAUGUCAGAGCUGACGAAAAAAAUGACACUCAAAUGACUGUCAAUGCUUAUGUUAAAAAGAGAAACCUAUGAAUGAUAUUGCUUAUAUAUGUAAGAAUGAAAUAGCUCAAUUAUUCAACACUGUCAGCAUUGACAGUAAAAUGAAAUUUAAGAUGACUGUCAAUGUUGAUUUUUUUUAAAAUAAACACUUUUCAACACUAAACAUCGUUUAUCAACACCGAUCUGUAUGCAGAAAAGCAACCCUGUAAAAAGAGAUACAUACAAUUCCAUAUAUGUACGUUUAUAAAAUGUUGCGCGUUAAUUCAGUGAACUCUAAAUCGAAUUAUUAUAUUUCGUGCGUUGUUUAAGUGAUUUAUGUUUUGUGAUUAAAUCUACAGUUUACUAUAUUAUCAAGAAAAGAUAAGUAAAAAUGAAAAAAACGCCAUUUCAAAAAAUGUAAGGUGCAUUUAAAAAAAAUUGAGCGAUCGGGGUGCCUCAUGACCGGAGAGGAAAAAGACGAGGCUCUCGACCAGGUAGCAAGCCUUUUACCUAUUCAAAACUUUGAGGGAUGUUUGGAAGUGGAAGAAAUGUUAGAGAAACCUGAGUUCGCACAAUCUAUGAUCAGUUAUGUCCACAAACUUAAAGGGACAUCGGACAAUAUUGAAAACUCUUUCAAAUAUAUAUUUGCAGACAGCCUACUAGAGUAUUUCAAUUUUGAUGGAAGAGGAGGAAAACAAGCAUUAUGUGCCUAAGCUAAAAAUCUUCGAAGCAGUUUUAAGAGUCGUUUAGCAGCCACAAUUUGGAAAAGAGUAUACGGAGGUCUAUUGAACGGGGUCACCACCGAAAUAACCAAAAAAAAAAAAAUAUAUUAAUAGGAAAAGAAGCAAUUUUUCAAUAAUUUAAUUUUAUUUUAUUACCAUUAUGAUUUUGAAACAUGAAUUAUGUGAUUUAAAAUUAAUGAAUUAUUGUGAUUUAAUAAUAAGAUAUGUAAAUAUGUAAAUUUUGAAACAUGAAUUAUUGUGAUUUAAAAUAUGAAUUAUUAUGAUUUAAUAUAUUAUAAUGUAAAAUAGAUUUAAAAAGAAAUUUUAUAAGAUAUCGAAUUUAAUUCUGAUGUAAUUAAUUUUAUUAUAUAGAGUUAUAUUAAUUUUUUACAACAUUUUUGACAUAAAUGUUAUUUUAAUAUUCAAAUUAUAAAUGAAUAAAGAUAAAACUAAUUUGAACAAAAAAAAUGUGUCAUCAUUGAAAGAUUUACGGUCAUAAAUGACAAAUUGCAGCAAUGUUAGCUUUUCAGUCAUUAUUGACAAUUUUCAACUUUGACAGAUUUGUGGUCAGCAAUGAACCAAGAAAAAGCAUGAGAGUAAGCAGUAGAGAUAUAUACUGAUUUAAUUCCGAAUACCAGUGUGUUAAAGAGAGAUGCAAGCUCACACGCAUGCGUUUGUUUACAUCAGUUUUUUCACUAGGCCCUUAAGAAAAUGAUAGAAACUUUGUUUUGCGCGCUGACUGAAUUUCUUUCAGCUCUGACAGUCAAAUGUACGUUCAGCUGACUGUCAGUGUUCUUGUAGGGAUGCUAUUCCAUAUACCUACAGCUAUUGUUCAUAAUAAGGGGUGCAUAUAGCAAUACAAAUACAACUUAAUACUACUUUUGUUACACUGCCCUCCACUAAGACCUAAUCGUCCCGAUUAGGCACAAAUCCUCUUGAACCAAAUGGGGCGAGCCUCUCCAAAUGUACUACUUUCAUUUUACAUCGUGCUUUUCCAUUUCUUUGUAUGCGGUAUACCACGUCAUUAAGUCGUUUCAUCACCAUAUAGGGUCCUUCCCAGGCUGUCUGCAAUUUCGGGGACAAGCCUUUCUUUCGAAGUGGAUUGUACAACAGGACCAGAUCACCUUCUACAAAACCUUUUGAAUUUGCCGCUUGAUCGAACCGGUCCUUCAACUUAUUGCUCAUCAGAUGCGUGUGCUGUCUUACCAUUAGAUGCAAUUCGUUCAUUUCUUCCUUUAAGGCAGAACAAUAAUCUCCAUCAUUUCUUACAGCUGUAGGAUUCGUUCCAAACUUAAGAUCAGCAGGAAGUCGCAGAUCAGAUCCGAAAAUAAUCUUUGCUGGCGUGUAACCAGUUGUCUCGUGCUUCGCUGAACGAUACGCCAGCAGGAACAUCUGGAUGCACUUGUCCCAAUUCCGUUGAUCUUUAUCAACGAUUUUCCGCAGAUGUUCUUCGAGCGUUCGGUUGAAUCUCUCCACCAUUCCAUCUGAUUGUGGAUGUAACGCUGUUGUCCGUGUCUUGUGGAUGCCCAAUAAUGUACAGACUUCUUGGAAAAUGGAAGAUUCGAAAUUCCUGCCUUGAUCUGAGUGUAAUUCGACGGGCACU